UUGGUUUAAAUCAUUGUGGAUAUAUAUUUUGAAAAUUGAACUCACACAAAGUAAUGAGACAUAUGCUGAUUUGAUCCAA
rnacentral:pre_miRNA from 1 species